GCUUCUGUGGUCCAAUGGUUAGGAUUCCACCCUUCCAUUCGAAACUUGUUUCGUAGUAAGGUGGAGGUUCGUGUUCGAUUCACGGCAGUUGCA